rnacentral:rRNA from 1 species
GACGAACGCUGGCGGCGUGCUUAACACAUGCAAGUCGAACGGAAAGGCCUCUUUCGGGGGGUACUCGAGUGGCGAACGGGUGAGUAACACGUGAGUAACCUGCCCUUGACUUUGGGAUAACUUCAGGAAACUGGGGCUAAUACAGGAUAGGAGCUCCUGCUGCAUGGUGGGGGUUGGAAAGUUUCGGCGGUUGGGGAUGGACUCGCGGCUUAUCAGCUUGUUGGUGGGGUAGUGGCUUACCAAGGCUUUGACGGGUAGCCGGCCUGAGAGGGUGACCGGCCACAUUGGGACUGAGAUACGGCCCAGACUCCUACGGGAGGCAGCAGUGGGGAAUAUUGCACAAUGGGUGGAAGCCUGAUGCAGCAACGCCGUGUGCGGGAUGACGGCCUUCGGGUUGGAAACCGCUUUCGCUCAUGACGAAGCUUUGUGUGACGGUAGUGGGUAAAGAAGCACCGGCUAACUACGUG